GUGCCAGCCGCCGCGGUAAUACCGGCAGCCCGAGUGAUGGCCGAUCUUAUUGGGCCUAAAGCGUCCGUAGCCGGCCGGGCAAGUCCGUCGGGAAAUCCACCCGCUUAACGGGUGGGCGUCCGGCGGAAACUGCUCGGCUUGGGACCGGAGGACCCGAGGGGUACGCCUGGGGUAGGAGUGAAAUCCCGUAAUCCCGGACGGACCGCCGGUGGCGAAAGCGCCUCGGGAGGACGGAUCCGACGGUGAGGGACGAAAGCUAGGGUCUCGAACCGGAUUAGAAACCCGAGUGUCC
rnacentral:rRNA from 1 species